GACGAACGCUGGCGGCGUGCCUAAUACAUGCAAGUAGAACGCUGAAGAGAGGAGCUUGCUCUUCUUGGAUGAGUUGCGAACGGGUGAGUAACGCGUAGGUAACCUGCCUGGUAGCGGGGGAUAACUAUUGGAAACGAUAGCUAAUACCGCAUAAAAUUGAUUAUUGCAUGAUAAUUAAUUGAAAGAUGCAACUGCAUCACUACCAGAUGGACCUGCGUUGUAUUAGCUAGUUGGUGAGGUAACGGCUCACCAAGGCGACGAUACAUAGCCGACCUGAGAGGGUGAGCGGCCACACUGGGACGGAGACACGGCCCAGACUCCUACGGGAGGCAGCAGUAGGGAAUCUUCGGGAAUGGGGGGAACACUGACCGAGCAACGCCGAGUGAGUGAAGAAGGUUGUCGGAUCGUAAAGGUCUGUUGUAAGAGAAGAACGGGUGUGAGAGUGGAAAGUUCACACUGUGACGGUAUCUUACCAGAAAGGGACGGCUAACUACGUG
rnacentral:rRNA from 1 species